ACGCCAUCGGCUACCUGUCGCGCUUCCUGCCGCCCGACAACGACGGGCGCCUGAUGAGCGUUGAGGCCAAGUUCCUGCACCGCUUCCCACGUCGUCCACAUGGACCUGGCCGGCAUCCUUGCUGGCACUGAGCAAGGCGACACGCUCGCAGCCUACUUCUGCGACCGUCAGCCAUGGCUUCCUCAGGAUCCGCUACAUCAUGCUCACCACGCUCCACACGAAGUAACAACUCAGGGUCUCCCUGAGUUGGGAACUUGUUUGGCAAGCGGCCACCAACAUCGUCAACAACUUGGUUCACCGGACCCCAGAGCUGAAAUGCAGUGAUAAUACCAUCCGGCACAUUGAAGCCUUACAACGUACCUCCGAUCCACUCCCGCUCUAUUGUGCAGGCAGAUUAAUUCAGUAGUUGCAGCUACCGCUCGAUCAACAACUGCAAGUGGACAUAAGCAAAAUGCUCGGGUUUCACUCAGGUUAGAAAGUAAGAACAGGCAAAUAAAUGUACUACCAUCAAGCAAUUUUAUCGUAAGGUUA